CUGGUCACAGACCAGCCUCCACUGCAGUUUCUGCUUGGUCUCAGGAAAAUGGAAGUACUAUAUUAUUUACUAACUUCUCACAUCAUGGGAUGGAAGAACUUAGAAGUCCUUUAAACUAAGGAACAAACAUUUUAUCUAAAUUAAAGGUAUAUGAAGAUAGAAGGAGGACUUAGGUGUUUUUCGAAUACAUCUUCCAUGACUGUUACAUAGACUCUGACCACAGAACUUGGCUGCAGAUGUCACAUUCACAGCAUAAUCGCCCAAAGGCCCUUGGAUAGACUGUUGCACAGAUAAGCAGUUCUCCUGCAGGAAAAACAGAAAUCCACUUAAAGCACUCUGAAACUGUGAUUCCAUUAUCCAGGACACAUUUCUACAGAUUAAUGAUCACACUACGCAGCUAGGAUGGGCAAGCCUAAAUGAAAUGAUGUUAUCAGCGAACCCAGAGGAGCUGGAAUCUUGAUAAAUGCUUGCCUUGAUCCAUACAGCCACUGAUACCCAUACUUCAACCAUGCAGGAGCCAGAAGCAAGCUAGUAUUUGGGGAAAAGUGCUUGGCAAAAGACAGAGAAGUGAAACACACCUCAUCUUUUCUCCUGGCAGAUUUUUUCAUCAGAUUUAAUCCACAACAAAGAAAACACCAUUAACUUUUAUUAAACUUUGAAUUUAACUUUAUAAACUUAAUUAGUGACUGAAGUGUUAAAAAUCAGGUUGUCGUGUCUAAGGAUCUUUAGGUGACUAUAACUUUGAGGGGUUUGGUCUACUGUCCAGUUUGAUCUGAUGGUAUAUGCUUCAAUAAACUGGGCCUGUUCAAUACUUUGGUAAUGGAAGGGACAUUUGCUCCUUCCCUGUCCUGUGGGAUGUAACAGGUGAGAGAGAACACAACUAGCAGGUAAGAGAGAUGCAGAAGAAAAGGUCCUAGAG